rnacentral:pre_miRNA from 1 species
UUUGUACUCCCUCCGUCCCAAAAUUCUUGUCUUAAAUUUGUCUAAAUACGGAUGUAUCUACUUACAUUUUAGUGUUAGAUACAUCUGUAUCUAAAUAAAUGUAAGACAAGAAUUUUGGGACGGAGGGAAUACUAC